rnacentral:rRNA from 1 species
AAGAGUUCAUAUCGACGCUCGUGUUCGGCACCUCGAUGUUGGAUCAUGACAGCCUGG